AUGUCUUGGCUAAGAAAGCGGAGAAGUGACAUUUGCAGAGAAGAUGCCAUGGAAGAGAAAGGCAAACACAGACAGAGGCUCCUCCUUGAAAGAAGCUUCAACACCCGUGGAGAACCCUUGAUCUGUCACGUGCCCGUAGGCUGCAGUGAGAUUCUGCUGAUGUCUUGGGAAACCCACCUUUUCAAGAGAGAAAAACUGAUGCACAGAAGAAAGAACUUAUGGUUGGAAGAGCAAAGUUUCUGGGGUUUCGGUUUUUAUCCGCUAAGUCAAAUUAGCUCCAAAAUUCAUGAUCUUCACCAUCAUGUUAGAAUUAACAUACUUUCUGAGCCCUUUACUGACCACGUAAUAGCUGCUUGGUAA
rnacentral:lncRNA from 1 species